rnacentral:rRNA from 1 species
GAUGAACGCUGGCGGCGUGCCUAAUACACGCAAGUCGAGCGAACGGACGAGAAGCUUGCUUUUCUGAUGUUAGCGGCGGACGGGUGAGUAACACGUGGAUAACCUACCUAUAAGACUGGGAUAACUUCGGGAAACCGGAGCUAAUACCGGAUAAUAUUUUGAACCGCAUGGUUCAAAAGUGAAAGACGGUCCUGCUGUCACUUAUAGAUGGAUCCGCGCUGCAUUAGCUAGUUGGUAAGGUAACGGCUUACCAGGGCAACGAUGCAUAGCCGACCUGAGAGGGUGAUCGGCCACACUGGAACUGAGACACGGUCCAGACUCCUACGGGAGGCAGCAGUAGGGAAUCUUCCGCAAUGGGCGAAAGCCUGACGGAGCAACGCCGCGUGAGUGAUGAAGGUCUUCGGAUCGUAAAACUCUGUUAUUAGGGAAGAACAUAUGUGUAAGUAACUGUGCACAUCUUGACGGUACCUAAUCAGAAAGCCACGGCUAACUACGUG